GACGAAGGAUGCAAGCGUUAUCCGGAAUGAUUGGGCGUAAAGCGUCCGCAGGUGGCUCUUCAAGUCUGCUGUCAAAGAGCAGGGCUCAACCUUGUCAAGGCAGUGGAAACUGAAAAGCUAGAGUGUGGUAGGGGUAGAGGGAAUUCCCAGUGUAGCGGUGAAAUGCGUAGAGAUUGGGAAGAACACCGGUGGCGAAAGCGCUCUACUGGACCUGCACUGACACUGAGGGACGAAAGCUAGGGGAGCGAAUGGG
rnacentral:rRNA from 1 species